rnacentral:lncRNA from 1 species
GGUUUAACAUGAGAAUGGAACCCUGUGGAUAUUUCCUAAUGGGGGCUAAUAUUUGUUGUGAUAAAUAUUGUGUUUGUUAAGGCAUUAAAGUCUAUAUGAGGUAUUAUUUAUUUAACCCUGACGACAGUCCCAAAGUGAAUGUUAUUCCUUAUCUUAUAAAUGAAGUAAUUGAAGUUUAGAGAGGUUAUGUUACUAGAGUCACAUAGACAUUUAAUUCUAGAAACUAUCUUUCAUAAGGCUGACUGGCACCUCUGCAAGAGAAGUCUUCAUUGGUGAAUAUAAGACAAGAUGAAAGUUUUACUGGAAAACCUUUUUCUUCUUUUCACCAUCCAUCAGGUGUAGUAUGCUCCUCUGAGUUCCUUUUCCUGCCAUGGAGCAUCAGUAUUUUGGAUCUGUGUGCCCCUUGGAUAUUUAGUCCCACACAUUUCACCAGAAUCAACUCAGUCGUCACUAGAUUCCCUCAACAUUGUUGCUGUGAAAGUAAGUACCACCAAUUCUAGUCUUGGAUCAGAAGGUCUGGAAUUGUUUAGAGACUGUACUGGUUGACUUUUUUGCAUCAGCAUGACU